rnacentral:rRNA from 1 species
GAUGAACGCUGGCGGCGUGCCUAAUACAUGCAAGUCGAGCGAACAGAUGAGGAGGUUGCUCCUCUGACGUUAGCGACGGAAGGGCGAGUAACACGUGGAUAACCUACCUAUAAGACUGGGAUAACUUCGGGAAACCGGAGCUAAUACCGGAUAAUAUAUUUAACCGCAUGGGUCAAUAGUGAAAGGCGGUUUUGCUGGCACUUAUAGAUGGAUCCGCGCCGCAUGAGCUAGUUGGUAAGGUAACGGCUUACCAAGGCAACGAUGCGUAGCCGACCUGCGAGGGUGAUCGGCCACACCGGACUGGAGACACGGUCCAGACUCCUACGGGAGGCACCAGUAGGGAAUCUUCCGCGAUGGGCGAAAGCCUGACGGAGCCACGCCGCGCGAGUGAUGAAGGUCUUCGGAUCGUAAAACUCUUUUAUUAGGGAAGAACAAAUGUGUAUGUAACUAUGCACGUCUUGACGGUACCUAAUCAGAAAGCCACGGCUAACUACGUG